GGAGCCUGCGGUUUAACUGGAUCAACGCCGGAAAUCUCACCGGGGCGACAGCAAUAUGAAGGUCAGGCUGAAGACCUUACCCGAUUAGCUGAGAGGUGGUGCAUGGCCGUCGUCAGUUCGUACUGUGAAGCAUCCUGUUAAGUCAGGCAACGAGCGAGACCCACGUCCACAGUUGCCAGCAUACCCUCCGGGGUGAUGGGUACACUGUGGAGACCGCCGCUGCUAAAGCGGAGGAAGGAGUGGGCAACGGUAGGUCAGUAUGCCCCGAAUCUCCCGGGCUACACGCGGGCUACAAUGGUUGGUACAAUGGGCAUCUACCCCGAAAGGGGAAGGAAAUCUCUUAAAGCCAAUCGUAGUUCGGAUUGAGGGCUGCAACUCGCCCUCAUGAAGCUGGAAUCCGUAGUAAUCGCGUUUCAACAGAACGCGGUGAAUACGUCCCUGCUCCUU
rnacentral:rRNA from 1 species